rnacentral:tRNA from 1 species
AGGGGUGUAGCUCAGUUGGUAGAGCACCGGUCUCCAAAACCGGUGGUCGUGGGUUCGAGUCCCUCCGCCCCUG